CAGAACAGAUCUCACAGAGCUGGGGCCAUAGGGAUGAAGCCAUGCUCAUCACAGAGUCCCGGGAGCCCAGGCCCGAGGGGCAUCUGGUGAACACGUUCCUAAAUGCUAUAAUUACAUGGAGCGUGCAGUGAAGAGUGAAAUCUUCUGCUGGGAUGUGGCCCGUGGAAAGGAGCUCCACUCAGAGAAAGCAAGGAACCAGGCCCGGUGGCUCUUGCCUGAAAUCCCAGCACUUUGAGAGGCUGAGGCAGGCGGAUCACUUGUGCCCAGGAGUUUGAGACCAGCCUGGGCAACAUGGGGAGAACCUGUCUCUACAAAAAAUAAAGUUAAAAGAAUUAGGUACGCGCGGUGCUCUGCACCUGUAGACCCAGCUACUCAGGAGGCUGAGGUGGGAGGAUUGCUUGAGCCCAGGAGUUUGAGGCUGCAAGUGAGCUAUGAUCACCCGCCUGUACUCCAGCCUGAGCAAAAGAGCAAGACCCUGUCUCAAUACACACACACACACACACACACACACACACACACACACACACGGCAAGAUGUGGCCACAAACCUGGUUGUUCAUCUCCAUGCAAGAGUCAGCCACAGCUCCAGGAAUCACAGCUUCCAACACAGACCCUGGCCAGCACCCCAUGAUACUAGGAGACUGUCUCCAGGGGCGAGGGUGGCUUUCGGCAGAGGCUCCAUUUUCAGGUCAGACCCUCAAUAAAGAGGCAUCCAGCCUUGGUAACCACCUACAGAGCAGUGGCUGGCACUCUGCUAGGGCUCCCUUCCAGGGCUGCUGCCUGCAGCUGCUCAGACUCUCCUCGCCACAAGGGAAUUCCUGCACAACUGGGUCUUCCACCUGCCACAACUCGGUGUUGGUAUAAGGCCCUAUAAUGGCUCCUCGAGUCACCGGGUCAGCUCCAUAGCUCAUGCAACUCAUAGUCAAGCGCGG
rnacentral:lncRNA from 10 species